rnacentral:rRNA from 1 species
AUUCCAGCUCCAAUAGCGUAUAUUAAAGUUGUUGCAGUUAAAAAGCUCGUAGUUGAACUUCAGACCUGGCCGGGCGGUCUGCCUAACGGUAUGUACUGUCUGGCUGGGUCUUACCUCUUGGUGAGCCGGCAUGCCCUUCACUGGGUGUGUCGGGGAACCAGGACUUUUACCUUGAGAAAAUUAGAGUGUUCAAAGCAGGCCUAUGCCCGAAUACAUCAGCAUGGAAUAAUAAAAUAGGACGUGCGGUUCUAUUUUGUUGGUUUCUAGAGUCGCCGUAAUGAUUAAUAGGGAUAGUUGGGGGCAUUAGUAUUCAGUUGCUAGAGGUGAAAUUCUUGGAUUUACUGAAGACUAACUACUGCGAAAGCAUUUGCCAAGGAUGUUUUCAUUG